rnacentral:misc_RNA from 1 species
GAUGAAGACGUAGCGAAAUGCGAUAAGUAAUGUGAAUUGCAGAAUUCAGUGAAUCAUCGAAUCUUUGAACGCACAUUGCGCCCCCUGGCAUUCCGGGGGGCAUGUCUGUUCGAGCGUCAUUACAACCCUCAAGCUCUGCUUGGUAUUGGGCUCUGCUGGGACCGGCAGGCCUUAAAAUCAGUGGCGGCGCCACUCGGCUUCAAGCGUAGUAAUUCUUCUCGCUUCGGAGACCCGGGUGCGUGCUAGCCAGCAACCCCCAACUUUCUUAGGUUGACCUCGGAUCAGGUAGGGAUACCCGCUGAACUUAAGCAUAUCAAUAAGCGGAGGA